rnacentral:SRP_RNA from 1 species
GGAUGGGUCCGACGCGGCAACGCCCUCCGAACCGGGUCAGGUCCGAGAGGAAGCAGCCCUAAGGAGGAUACGUUGGGUGCCGUCGGGUUGCCUGUCCGGG